ACACUCCUACGGGAGGCAGCAGUGGGGAAUAUUGGACAAUGGGCGCAAGCCUGAUCCAGCCAUGCCGCGUGAGUGAUGAAGGCCCUAGGGUUGUAAAGCUCUUUCACCGGUGAAGAUAAUGACGGUAACCGGAGAAGAAGCCCCGGCUAACUUCGUGCCAGCAGCCGCGGUAAUACGAAGGGGGCUAGCGUUGUUCGGAUUUACUGGGCGUAAAGCGCACGUAGGCGGACUAUUAAGUCAGGGGUGAAAUCCCGGGGCUCAACCCCGGAACUGCCUUUGAUACUGGUAGUCUUGAGUUCGAGAGAGGUGAGUGGAAUUCCGAGUGUAGAGGUGAAAUUCGUAGAUAUUCGGAGGAACACCAGUGGCGAAGGCGGCUCACUGGCUCGAUACUGACGCUGAGGUGCGAAAGCGUGGGGAGCAAACAGGAUUAGAAACCCUUGUAGUCCCAGA
rnacentral:rRNA from 1 species